ensembl:snoRNA
CACUUUUUUUGGUUCAUGAGCAUGAUGAUUGGGUGUUCAUGCCUGUGCGUGACAUGUGCCGCCCUCAAAUCUUGUUACGACGUGGGCACAUUACCCUUCUGACA